rnacentral:rRNA from 1 species
GACAGAGGGGGCAAGCGUUGCUCGGAAUCACUGGGCGUAAAGGGCGCGUAGGCGGGAUGGCAAGUCGGUCGUGAAAUCUCUCGGCUCAACCGAGAAACGUCGGCCGAUACUGCCGUUCUUGAGGGAUGCAGAGGAGACUGGAAUUCCCGGUGUAGCGGUGAAAUGUGUAGAGAUCUGGAAGAACCCCAAUGGCGAAGGCAGCGUCCUGGCAAGCAACUGACGCUCAUGUGCGAAAGCUAGGGGAGCGAACGGG